rnacentral:lncRNA from 1 species
AUAUCCCUAAUAUUCCCACAAAACCUAGCCGUAAUCCCAACUUAUUCAACAUAUAGAAUUCUAAGAUUUAAAAAAAAAAAUUAUGACGCUUGCUAAUAUAUGAUCUUCGAUAUCAUUUAUAGGUUGUUUCAGUUCUACAAAUGGUAUGGAAAACUGAUGGGGCUUGAAGUUAUCAAAAGAACCUCACAUAAAGCCGAUGAAGGGGUGUUGAAAAUUUGUGUCAGGUUGAUUCUUAAACUCCCACUUUAGGUAGUGCUUAAUUCUUUUAUCAUUCUAAUUUAUGAGUGUAUUUUUAUUUUAGAUUUUAUGCUCAGGCCUUUAAGUUGUGUUUUCGAUAACAAAUAAUUAAAUUUUUUGUUAAGAUUCAAGGUAUUGCUGAAAUAUUUCAUAUUAUUUGUUAUAGGCUUUUUACUUCUUUGAACUUUUGAAAGUGAAAAAUGUAUCAUAAUCCAGUUUAAUUAGAUUGUUAAUAAAAUAAAUUUUAUCAUUUGAUAACAUGGUCCAUUGGUUGCUGACAAACAAAACUGAAACGAUAACUUUUAUAGGAUGAAAAAAAAAUACUUUCUCAUUUUAUCUUUCAAUAUGAAUGGUGGUUAUGGUUAUAACUUUUAAUUUCUUCCAUUGUGAUUGAAUUAUACUCUUUCAUUUGUUUUCUUUCAAAAUCUAGAAUUGUACCUCUUGAUUGUGCAUUAGGAAAAAAAAAUUCAAUUGCCUUUUGCAUAGCCUCUUGAUUCUAUUUAUUGAAUAAGAUUCUAGAAUUGUACAUAAUCAUGCAGUUAUAAAGACUUUAAAGCUAGAAUUAUACCUCUUGAUUGUGCAUUAUCUUGUUUCACCAUUUUUUUUUUUUUGUCAUUCAUCACUAUCUUACAAUAUUCGCCUUGAUAAUUUUUGCAGGCACCAAAGAAGUUUAAGUUUUCCUAAUGAUUGAAAAAUGCCAACAUUAUUUAAAUGUGAUGCUUCUGGUCAAUUGUCGUUAUGAGAAAUUAUUUUAAGCUUUUGGCCUGUGCCACUUUUGAUUUCACUGGAUCUAGCACAUUAAUUUCUUCCCUGUAAUUGUGUUGAAGGUGUUCGGUCAUCAACUUUUAACACCAAGUCCUGAAUUUCCUAUGCAUUCCUUGGAUUUAACUCAUUUUUAUUACUUAAUAUAUGUUGGCU